rnacentral:rRNA from 1 species
GACAGCAGCUAUAUCACCCUACAACUCACAACUGGUAACACACUGAAGCUAAGUAGGUGUGAGCUUUGCCAGUACCUGGAUGGGAGACCUCCUGGGAAAAGCGAAGACUGAUGCUGGAA